rnacentral:rRNA from 1 species
GACGAACGCUGGCGGCGUGCUUAACACAUGCAAGUCGAACGGAAAGGCCCUGCUUUUGUGGGGUGCUCGAGUGGCGAACGGGUGAGUAACACGUGAGUAACCUGCCCUUGACUUUGGGAUAACUUCAGGAAACUGGGGCUAAUACCGGAUAGGAGCUCCUGCUGCAUGGUGGGGGUUGGAAAGUUUCGGCGGUUGGGGAUGGACUCGCGGCUUAUCAGCUUGUUGGUGGGGUAGUGGCUUACCAAGGCUUUGACGGGUAGCCGGCCUGAGAGGGUGACCGGCCACAAUGGGCCUGAGAGAGGGCCCAGACUCGUAUGGGAGGCAGCAGUGGGGAAUAUUGCAGAAUGGGCGGAAGCCUGAUGCAGAAACGCCGCGUGCGGGAUGACGGCCUUCGGGUUGUAAACCGCUUUCGCCUGUGACGAAGCGUGAGUGACGGUAAUGGGUAAAGAAGCACCGGCUAACUACGUG